UACGUAGGGGGCUAGCGUUGUCCGGAAUCAUUGGGCGCAAAGCGCGUGUAGGCGGCCCGGUAAGUCCGCUGUGAAAGUCGGGGGCUCAACCCUCGGAUGCCGGUGGAUACUGUCGGGCUGGAGUGCGGAAGAGGCGAGUGGAAUUCCUGGUGUAGCGGUGAAAUGCGCAGAUAUCAGGAGGAACACCAAUUGCGAAGGCAGCUCGCUGGGACGUUACUGACGCUGAGACGCGAAAGCGUGGGGAGCAAACAGG
rnacentral:rRNA from 1 species